CACCAAUCGCACAUCCAUCCACACACCCCCUCCUCUCCCUAGGGUUUCGGCGACAGCGAGGCGAUCGGCGACGGCGGCGAUCGGCAACGGCGGCUGCUCUUCACCUCCCUGGCACCAUCAUCCUGACCACCUCGAGAUAAUCCACGAGAACUCGACCUCUUCCGUCUUCCUCCUUACCACGCAGCGCCGCCACGAGAACUCGACAAAGUCUCCUGCGCCGCCGGCGCCUCAGCUCAUCUUCUUCCCCUACCCUCCCCAGACUGCACCUCCCCGUCGUCCUCGAAGACACCUCGAUCGACCGGCGCUGUUCCCGUCGCCACCUGCAGAUGGAGGAAGAGGAGGAGACGCCGGAGGGUGGCGGGGAAGGAGGAGGAGAUGCCGGGGGUGGCGGGGAAGGAGGAGGAGAUGCCGAAGACAGCGGGGAUGGAGGAGGAGAAGAUGCCGGACGGAGACGAGGAGAAGAAUGCGACGGUCUUCCAGUCCCAGGUCUCUGCUUUCUUGCUAUUCUUUCAAUCCAUGUGUUAUUACUAAUUUAAUUUAACUGUCCGUGGACAACAUUUAUUGAUGUAUAUGCUUGCAUCAUUACUGCUAGUAGUUGCAGGAGAUAGUAUCUCUGACAGAUACUUGGAAUUGUGAUGUGCUGUACUAGUCCCUGAAUAGGCUUUAGAGAGAUGCUAAUUCUAGAAAACUGAAAGUUGUAGGCUGUGGCCUGGUUCUGUUCUACUGUUAAAAUUCAGUCUCUUGUUUGUAUGUUGUACCUCCUCAUUACUUUACAAUUCAAGACCAUGUGGUGGUAGUGCUCCAAAUUAGUCAGACCAUGUAGUAGUAGUGCUCCAAAUUAGCUACAGUAUAAGUGAGUUUCAAAUGCUGCCAAUCUGUGUAAUAGAACUUGUAUUGUGACGAAUCCAAAGUGAAUUUCUAAUGCUGUUAAGCUGUUUAACUUAUUUGGUACAUGACAUGACGUUAUUUCUAAUCCGCUUUACCUGGAUGAAGCAAGUUUAUCAAGUUAAUACCAUUAUUAUGCAAAAGCUCAAGUUAACUGAUUCACUUGUACUACUCUUGUGUGUAGCCAAGCUGGCGCCGGCCAAAAGGUAUCGACAAGGGAGUUACCUAGAUGACCAAUAUUGGGGAUUCGACUGUUAAUCAUCUCGCUAUCGAUAAUGAUUAUGCUCUCAUGCUACAAGUACAGCUGUUCUGAUGUUAGUGAGUGAGGAGUGUCUUUGUUUAUCUUCUAUGGAGUCAUCAUAAUUAUUGUUAUUUCUGAGAAGAUCAAUAAGCAUCAGAAUCCUAUCAUUUGACAUAUGUAUUUGCUGGGAGAAACAUCCAAACAGUAUUUGCCUAGGACCAGCUGGUAGUAUUAUCUACUACUACAAUGAUGAGCUUGUGAUUUGACAUGCUUUUUGAUCAAGUUUUAGUUGAGCUAAGAGUCAACAUUAUAGUUUGUCGUUAAUUGUGGAUCAGUGGGUCAAAAGCAAUCUUCAUGUUUAGUUUAUUAUAUCUUGUUUACAUGUAGCUGCUCUUUUAUUUUUGUGCGCAUGACACUAACCACUACUGAAAUGUGCCCAUUUGCAAGAAAACUUGCGAGUCGAACAAGGCUAAUCGAGCAAAAGUCCAGUUUCAACAGAAGACUGGUUCAAGGUCCUACACUGCACAUAUUUAUGCUCUUAAUGAGGAACGCAAGGGUGAACCACUGUCCGCAAUUGACUACUUCAAGGCCACUCACAAUGGCAAGACUGGAUAUGCGGAGCCAGUUCAAAAAUCCAUAGCUGAAAUGGAAAAGAGGAUGGUUGCACCGUUACAAGAAGGUUAGGAGCAAAAGUCUGCUACUGCAAUUGUUGCUGAGGUACUUACAGAGCAACGCCGUGCAAGCACAUUCCUCAUGAAUAUUGGGCUGCAGUCAAGCUCAGCUAGGAACAAAUUCAGAUCAGACUCUAUUGUAGCCGCACAAGUGACCGACCUGAAGGAGAAGCUGGAGAUGUCAGAACAGCAAGGCCAAGCAAUGCGUGAAGAGUUGGCAUCGCUCAAGAAAAAGUCUGAAGAAGCUGAGGCUGCCCAGGCCGAGGCCGCGCGAGACAGAGAGUAUGAGCUCAGGUUUGCCCGUUUGGCGAUGAUGAUGGGAGGAGGUACUACACCUGGGAACUAGUGGGGUGGGUGCUAGUGGGUGAGAUCCUUUUUUGGCCAUGUUUUCUUGCAUCUAGGAACUCGUGGAUGGCUGGGUGUCAUUUUGCUCCGUUUUGGCCAUGUUAGUUGUGAAUGUUUUCGGUGAAGCUGGGAACAUGUGGAGAUGAUGUCGUUUCAGUACAUGUGGAGGCUUUCGGUUUAACCUGUGAACAAUUUGAGAUUAUGUGAACCUGUGAUAUAAAUUGUUAUCU